rnacentral:rRNA from 1 species
GUUCGGUCCCUAUCUGCCGUGGGCGUUGGAGAAUUGAAAGGGGCUGCUCCUAGUACGAGAGGACCGGAGUGGACGAACCUCUGGUGUUCGGGUUGUGUCGCCAGACGCAUUGCCCGGUAGCUAAGUUCGGGAUCGAUAACCGCUGAAAGCAUCUAAGCGGGAAGCGAGCCUUGAGAUGAGUUCUCCCUGAUACUUUAAGUAUCCUAAAGGGUUGUCGUAGACUACGACGUUGAUAGGCAGGGUGUGUAAGCGUUGUGAGGCGUUGAGCUAACCUGUACUAAUUGCCCGUGAGGCUUAACCAUACAACACCCAAGGGGUUU